AACGUAGGUGGCAAGCGUUAUCCGGAAUGACUGGGCGUAAAGGGUGUGCAGGCGGGGGAGCAAGUGGUGUAUGAAAUCUCCCAGCUUAACUGGGAUAGGUUAUGCCAUACUGCUUUUCUAGAGGACGAGAGAGGGGGGUGGAAUUCCGGGUGUAGUGGUGAAAUGCGUAGAGAUCCGGAGGAACCCCAGAGGCUAAGGCGGCCCCCUGGCUCGUACCUGACGCUCAGCCACGAAAGCAUGGGGAGCGAACGGG
rnacentral:rRNA from 1 species